CCAGACUCCUACGGGAGGCAGCAGUAGGGAAUAUUGCACAAUGGGCGCAAGCCUGAUGCAGCGACGCCGCGUGAGGGAUGGAGGCCUUCGGGUUGUGAACCUCUUUCGCCAGUGAAGCAGGCCUGUCCCUUGUGGGUGGGUUGACGGUAGCUAGAUAAGAAGCGCCGGCUAACUACGUGCCAGCAGCCGCGGUAAUACGUAGGGCGCGAGCGUUGUCCGGAAUUAUUGGGCGUAAAGAGCUCGUAGGCGGCUGGUCGCGUCUGUCGUGAAAUCCUCUGGCUUAACUGGGGGCUUGCGGUGGGUACGGGCCGGCUUGAGUGCGGUAGGGGAGGCUGGAACUCCUGGUGUAGCGGUGGAAUGCGCAGAUAUCAGGAAGAACACCGGUGGCGAAGGCGGGUCUCUGGGCCGUUACUGACGCUGAGGAGCGAAAGCGUGGGGAGCGAACAGGAUUAGAUACCCUGGUAGUCCACGCCGUAAACGUUGGGCACUAGGUGUGGGGGGCCUUUUCCGGGUUCUUCCGCGCCGUAGCUAACGCAUUAAGUGCCCCGCCUGGGGAGUACGGCCGCAAGGCUAAAACUCA
rnacentral:rRNA from 1 species